AAUAUUUCAAGUUGUUUUUUUUCAUAGAAAGGAUUUACUUGUUACUAAUAUUGUCUAACCUCUAUUCUUCUUUAGAUCUCUUGUUUUACUCCGAUAAUAUCAUAAAUUGGGUCAAUAGAGAGGAAAUUAAUGCAUUUCCAUACUAUUAAGUAAGUGGAAUAGAUCUUAUUCCUAUCUCCUCUUUUUCUCUCGUCUUUCUUAUGUCAUUAUUCCUAGGUCAUCCAUUAAAAACAUCUAAUGUCAUUUGGGUUAUGCAAUUCCGAUAAACCUCUUAUUUAUUUUUUCUCCUUUCUUCUUUUACUUUAACUUCAAGUGCA
rnacentral:lncRNA from 1 species